UCGAGAAUCUUUCACAAUGGGGGCAACCCUGAUGGAGCGACGCCGCGUGGAGGAUAAGGUCUUCGGAUUGUAAACUCCUGUCAUGCGCGAACAAGGUUGCAGGGUUAAUAACUCUGCAAAUUGAUGGUACCGCAAGAGGAAGAGACGGCUAACUCUGUGCCAGCAGCCGCGGUAAUACAGAGGUCUCAAGCGUUGUUCGGAAUCACUGGGCGUAAAGGGUGCGUAGGUGGCUUGGUAAGUCAGAUGUGAAAGCCCGGGGCUCAACCCCGGAAUUGCAUCCGAUACUGCCGAGCUAGAGUACUGAAGGGGAAACUAGAAUUCUCGGUGUAGCAGUGAAAUGCGUAGAUAUCGAGAGGAAUACCAAAGGCGAAGGCAGGUUUCUUGGCAGUUACUGACACUGAGGCACGAAGGCCAGGGGAGCAAACGGG
rnacentral:rRNA from 1 species